rnacentral:rRNA from 1 species
UGAUCCUGGCUCAGGAUGAACGCUAGCGGCAGGCUAAUACAUGCAAGUCGAACGAGAAUCUUUUCUUCGGAGAAGAGGAAAGUGGCGCACGGGUGCGUAACGCGUAUGCAACCUACCCUUAACAGGGGGAUAGCCCGAAGAAAUUCGGAUUAAUACCCCCAUAGUAUUACAGAUUGGCAUCAUGAAGUAAUUAAAGAUUUAUCGGUUAAGGAUGGGCAUGCGUAACAUUAGCUAGUUGGUAAGGUAACGGCUUACCAAGGCUAUGAUGUUUAGGGGUUCUGAGAGGAUGAUCCCCCACACUGGUACUGAGAUACGGACCAGACUCCUACGGGAGGCAGCAGUAGGGAAUAUUGGUCAAUGGGCGAGAGCCUGAACCAGCCAUGCCGCGUGUAGGAAGACGGCUUUCUGAGUUGUAAACUACUUUUAUAUGGGAAGAAAAAGGCCAUGCGUGGCAAAUUGCCGGUACCAUAUGAAUAAGCACCGGCUAACUCCGUGCCAGCAGCCGCGGUAAUACGGAGGGUGCAAGCGUUGUCCGGAUUUAUUGGGUUUAAAGGGUGCGUAGGCGGGUCUUUAAGUCAGUGGUGAAAGCCUGCAGCUUAACUGUAGAACUGCCAUUGAUACUGGAGACCUUGAGUAUACUAGAGGUAGGCGGAAUUUAUGGUGUAGCGGUGAAAUGCAUAGAUACCAUAAAGAACACCGAUAGCGUAGGCAGCUUACUGGAGUAUAACUGACGCUGAUGCACGAAAGCAUGGGUAGCGAACAGGAUUAGAUACCCUGGUAGU